UACGUAGGUGGCAAGCGUUGUCCGGAUUUACUGGGCGUAAAGGGCGUGCAGGCGGUCUGUUAAGUCUAGGGUGAAAGCUCCCGGCUCAACUGGGAGAGGUCCUUGGAUACUGGCGGACUUGAGGGAGGCAGAGGAGUAUGGAAUUCCCGGUGUAGUGGUGAUAUGCGUAGAUAUCGGGAGGAACACCGGUGGCGAAGGCGGUACUCUGGGCCUUACCUGACGCUGAGACGCGAAAGCGUGGGGAGCGAACCGG
rnacentral:rRNA from 1 species